GGCUCUGAUUCAACAGAUCUGAGGUGGAGCCUGAGAGUCUGCAUUUCUAACAAGCUCCCAGGAGAGGCCUAUGCUGCCGAACCAUGCUUUGAAUAGCGAGGACCUCAAAAACUCAGAACUGGGCAGUAAGGAAACCAAUAACUCUGGACCAGAAGUCAGGAGACCUGGGUGUAAAUCUAGAUGAUGACAUUCACCAACGGCGUGACCUCAGGCAGCCAAGCUUUCCAUAAUGCAGAUGACUAAAAGAUAGAGCUGAUUGUGUCCAGGAGGGUGUGACUCUACUGCUAAAUAUCCUGGCUGGUGAUGCUCUCCUCUCCUGCAAAGAGUGGGGUUCUUCCAAACGACACUGGUGUUCUCCACUGCCCCCACGGAUGCAUAACUUAGUUUCUACGGGGCAGGGAUCCAAAAGCAGCUGAGCUGGAUGUUUUGGGCACAGAAUCUCCUGAGAGUGCAGCCCAGACAUAAGCUGGGCACCAGUCCUCGGAAGGUGUGCCUGAGACUGGAGGGGCCAUUUCCAGCUUCUGCCGGUGGCUGUGGGCACCACGUGAGCCUCUCCGCAAGGCUGCUCAGACAGAGGUGGCCGAAAGAGAAAGCUGCAGUGCCUUUACAACCCAGUCUCGGCAGUGACCGAUCAUCACUUCUGCUGUAUCUAGUGGUCACACAGACCAAGAGGAAGAGGCAAGGGUGUACCAGGAAGUGACACCCCUGGGGUGGCCUUGGAGGCCACCACGCACAGACGGAAUCCCAUUCUGCAGAGGGAUCCCGGUGAGAAAUUUUCAAACAUCCACAAGAGUAGAGAGAAGAGUACAGUGAACCCCUAUGUGGGCGCCAGCAGCCGGCACAGCUACCAGCUCGCAGUCAUGUUGUUUCCUUCAGGCGCGUCCUGCAAACGCCCCCAGGGCAGCCACCACCAGUACCAGAUUAUUUUAAAGCGCUCCCGGAUAUCAUAUCCUCUCAACCACACAAACUUCAGUAUCUGUAAACGAUAAGGACUCUUGGUAAAUUACUUUAAUACCAUCGGCGCACAGGAACAAUUCUUUAAUAUCACCAAACAUCUCGUCAGUGUUUAAAUUGCCCAAAAUAUCUGAUAAAUGCCUUCUUUUUUUUUUUUUUUUUUGGUUGCAGCUUUUUAGUUUUAUAGCCAGGAUCAGCAGGUUGCCUUUGGCUGAGCCUCUUAACAUAGGACGGUUCUGUGUCCUCUUUUUUCUUUCUUCUUUUUUCUUCUCUUCUCCUCUUCUCUUCUCUUCUUGCCAUUUGUUUAUUCAAGGCACCUAGGUCCUGUCUCCUGUACGGUUUUCACUACUUUUGACUUUGCCCAUCGCAUUCCUCGCAUCGGUAGGAAACCUAGAGACUCGACGGCAUUGCCCUGUGAUUUGCAGGCGAGGACAUCCCGCAGGCGCUGGGUUGCGGCAGGAAGGAGGGCAGCAUUGAUCGGGUUAUUCUCAGUUUGAUCUUACGUUAUCAAGUUUGGCAACAGCUAGAUCGUGAUCUCCUUGAUCGCUGGACAGGGGUAUUAAAACUCUCUGGUUCCUCUUUAUUAGUGGAAAGUGUUCUAUAAAUAAAUUUCCCUCAUCGGCUAUUGGUUUACUUUGAAAUUCAGUCUGUACAAGAGAGGCAGGAUAAAUCUUCAACUUUUUCUCUUUACCGGUUUUUAGAAUAAUGACAUUUGUGCAGCUCCUUGCUUCUAGAUCUUUCCCAUGAAGAGAAUUAGGAUGUAUAUUUUUUUAAGGGGAAAAUAUUCAUGAGGUUAUGCUGCUAUUUCCAGUUCAAAUGCAAGACCACCAGGCUUUUACUUCCUUCAAUUUUAUAUUUGGGUCUUUUUCCUUUUACACUGAAGAUCUUGAUUCCUAAUGACAUUAGCAUAAUUACCUAUUCACUUUAUCCUCAGUCUCAAGUAACAUUAACACUGAUAACUGAAAACAAUGUAAGGUAUUUUUGGCAGUCGGUCUUGUUCUCACUUUAUCGCCUUAUCGCCUUAUCGUGUUGUUAAUACCACGGAGUCAUUCUCUGUGGGGCUAUGUCAACAACUUGGUAUACGAUUUAAUUCGUUUUUGCAUUUCAUUUCCAUUUUUGUUCCAUUUUGUUUUAUGGUUAUGUACAACAUUUAUAUGGUUCCGAAGUCAAAAUAGCCCCUAGCCAUAAUCUUUCGCCAGCAUGAGGCCCACCACAUCGAAAACGCUCAAAUAUUCAUUGACUUUUACAACCUUUGUUCUAUCGUAAAUCAUCCACUGGGAGGGGGGUGGCUCCCACCAAGAAAGCCCAAGACUUGGUAAGGACCAUUAUUUGCCCUAAAGUUCAGCUAGACUGAAUACUUAUACGGUGAUUUGCAAAGGAAAGGCAUAGCUUAGGAUCUGUAAUCUAAAUCUUCUGGCUUCACUUGGAGAAGCUGAUCCUAAACUGGCUAGCGAUGGAGGGAAGAGCCCAUCCAAACCUCGAAGCCCUCCUCUUUCCUUUCUUCCUCCCUUCUUUCUCUCCCUUCCUCCCUUUCUUUCUCUCUUUCUUUCUCU